rnacentral:rRNA from 1 species
AGAGUUUGAUCCUGGCUCAGAACGAACGCUGGCGGCGUGCUUAACACAUGCAAGUCGAACGAGAAAGUUCCCUUCGGGGGAUGAGUAGAGUGGCAGACGGGUGAGUAACACGUGGGCAACCUGCCCGGAGGUGGGGGAUAACCCUUCGAAAGGAGGGCUAAUACCGCAUGACAUCUCGAGCACUUAGGGGUUCGAGAUCAAAGCCAGCCUCUGCUUGCAAGCUGGUGCCACCGGAGGGGCCCGCGCCCCAUUAGCUUGUUGGUGAGGUAACGGCUCACCAAGGCCGCGAUGGGUAGCCGGCCUGAGAGGGUGAUCGGCCACACUGGAACUGAGACACGGUCCAGACUCCUACGGGAGGCAGCAGUGAGGAAUUUUGCGCAAUGGGCGAAAGCCUGACGCAGCGACGCCGCGUGGAGGACGAAGGCCUUCGGGUCGUAAACUCCUGUCAAGCGGGACGAAUCCUGCGGGGAUGAAUAAGCCCCGCAAUUGACGGUACCGCUGGAGGAAGCCCCGGCUAACUCCGUGCCAGCAGCCGCGGUAACACGGGGGGAGCGAGCGUUGUUCGGAAUCACUGGGCGUAAAGGGCGUGUAGGCGGUUCGGUAAGUGAGAUGUGAAAGCCCCCGGCUCACCCGGGGAUGUGCAUUUCAUACUGCUGGACUUGAGUACGGAAGAGGAUGGGGGAAUUCCUGGUGUAGCGGUGAAAUGCGUAGAUAUCAGGAGGAACACCGGUGGCGAAGGCGCCCAUCUGGUCCGUUACUGACGCUGAUGCGCGAAAGCUAGGGGAGCGAACGGGAUUAGAUACCCCGGUAGUCCUAGCCGUAAACGGUGGGCACUAGGUGUUGGAGGCAUCGACCCUUCCAGUGCCGCAGCUAACGCAUUAAGUGCCCCGCCUGGGGAGUACGGUCGCAAGACUGAAACUCAAAGGAAUUGACGGGGGCCCGCACAAGCGGUGGAGCAUGUGGUUCAAUUCGACGCAACGCGAAGAACCUUACCCAGGCUUGACAUGCACUGGACCGGUGUGGAAACACACCUUCCCUUCGGGGCUAGUGCACAGGUGCUGCAUGGCUGUCGUCAGCUCGUGUCGUGAGAUGUUGGGUUAAGUCCCGCAACGAGCGCAACCCUUGCCCUUAGUUGCUAACGAGUUAAGUCGAGCACUCUAGGGGGACUGCCGGCGGUAAGCCGGAGGAAGGUGGGGACGACGUCAAGUCCUCAUGGCCCUUACGCCUGGGGCUACACACGUGCUACGAUGACCGACACAGAGGGCUGCGAUACCACGAGGUGGAGCUAAUCCCAAAAAGUCGGCCUCAGUUCGGAUUGCAGUCUGCAACUCGACUGCAUGAAGGUGGAAUCGCUAGUAAUCGCUGAUCAGCAGGCAGCGGUGAAUACGUUCCCGGGCCUUGUACACACCGCCCGCC